rnacentral:rRNA from 1 species
GACGAACGCUGGCGGCGUGCUUAACACAUGCAAGUCGAACGGAAAGGCCCUGCUCUUGUGGGGUGCUCGAGUGGCGAACGGGUGUGUAACAUGUGAGUAUCAUGCCCUUGACUCUGGGAUAUCUUCAGGAAACUGGGGCUAAUACCGGAUAGGAGCCCCGGCUGCAUGGUGGGGGUUGGAAAGUUUCGGUGGUUGGGGAUGGACUCGCGGCUUAUCAGCUUGUUGGUGGGGUAGUGGCUUACCAAGGCAUUGACGGGUAGCCGGCCUGAGAGGGUGACCGGCCACAUUGGGACUGAGAUACGGCCCAGACUCCUACGGGAGGCAGCAGUGGGGAAUAUUGCACAAUGGGCGGAAGCCUGAUGCAGCAACGCCGCGUGCGGGAUGACGGCCUUCGGGUUGUAAACCGCUUUCGCCUGGGAAGAAGCGUGAGUGACGGUAAUGGGUAAAGAAGCACCGGCUAACUACGUG